AUUUAGCUGACGUAUCCCAAAUAGGACGAGACGAGCGUCUUUAGAU
rnacentral:hammerhead_ribozyme from 1 species